rfam:Gossypium raimondii Chr04_contig_1282, whole genome shotgun sequence.
CACGUCAGCGCGACCUGCUGACGUGUAAGGAAAUCGCUUCCUCAAGGACGCGAUUUCCUUCCACGUUAGCAGGUCGCGCUGACGUGG